UGUGGCGCCCCCUAAUGGAAGAAGCUGAAAGAAGAAGAAGAAGAAUACUAACAGUUAUCAUGAAUACGCGGGCGCCAUUUUCCCUUCAUCUCCCACCGGAAGCGACAUCACUCACACCGGAAGUGGAAUGGAAAUGGCGUGGACUUAGCAAAUGCGUAUGAACCUUUGACUUCAAUUAACCUGUGCAACAAUGAAUUGCAAUCAUCUGUCUGCCCUGAGCCGAAUCCAAGGCUGCUGUGCCUCUGACUGGAGAAGAAUAGAAGAUGAGGAGGAGGAGGGGGAGUAAAGACGUGUUUUACUAAGAGGCGUUGCUGUCUAUCUGAAGGAAGAUGUUUGUGGUUCAUUAUCUCUUCAUUCCCACUGCACUUAUUGUGGAAGGUUCUGCUUUUCAGUGUGACAUUGUAUCCUCAUGUUAUAUCUUUUCAAUGUAGAGCAAAAUCCUCUUGCUACGAUUCCUGUACAAGUGUAGAAAUGUAUCCAUUACAAAUGUUUGUGAUGAGUCACUUCUGCUUUUAAUGGAAUGAGAUUUUGACACAUUUUCUCUUUCACUGAAUCUAAAAAGAUUCUAAAGCUAGCAAUGCUAAACCACCUGAUGAUCACAAGUUAGAUUUACAUCAAUCCAGCUAAUGGUUCCACAUAGAACAAGAAAAUUAAAUGGUACGUAUUUAUUUAUUUA